CAAGCUUCAAAUUCUAUCCAAGGUACUGUCAUGCGUAAUAGUCACUCGGGAUUGUAACUCCUCGGUUCUUGUGGGACAUCGUUGGAUGUAUGUAUGUAUGAUGUGUUGACAUGACGCACAUGUGUUGAAGGGGCAAGAUGAUGUUUGACUCUUCACUGGGGUUAUUGCCGGUUUGAGUUGAAAGAAGACGUUGCUCAGGGUUACAUCUGAGAUUGGACUACUUGUUGGCAUGCUGCGAUAUCAUCUUGUGAGAGAAAACGUUGAGGCUGUAAAAUGACGUGUGACUUCUCACCGAGGUUAUCUCCAGUUUGAGCUGAAAGCAGAC
rnacentral:lncRNA from 1 species